rnacentral:piRNA from 1 species
UCCAUCUGUAGACUUUUAAAUGCA